GAUGAAGAACGUAGCGAAAUGCGAUAAGUAAUGUGAAUUGCAGAAUUCAGUGAAUCAUCGAAUCUUUGAACGCACAUUGCGCCCGACAGUAUUCUGGCGGGCAUGCCUGUUCGAGCGUCAUUACAACCCUCAGGCCCCCGGGCCUGGCGUUGGGGAUCGGCGGAAGCCCCCUGCGGGCACAACGCCGUCCCCCAAAUACAGUGGCGGUCCCGCCGCAGCUUCCAUUGCGUAGUAGCUAACACCUCGCAACUGGAGAGCGGCGCGGCCACGCCGUAAAACACCCAAAUUCUGAAUGUUGACCUCGAAUCAGGUAGGAAUACCCGCUGAACUUAAGCAUAUCAAUAAGCGGAGGA
rnacentral:misc_RNA from 1 species